rnacentral:rRNA from 1 species
GGAGGAAAGCAGGGGAUCGCAAGACCUUGCGCUCAUUGAGCGGCCGAUGCCUGAUUAGCUAGUUGGUGAGGUAAAGGCUUACCAAGGCGACGAUCAGUAGCUGGUCUGAGAGGACGACCAGCCACACUGGGACUGAGACACGGCCCAGACUCCUACGGGAGGCAGCAGUGGGGAAUUUUGGACAAUGGGGGAAACCCUGAUCCAGCCAUGCCGCGUGAGUGAAGAAGGCCUUCGGGUUGUAAAGCUCUUUCAGCCGGAACGAAACGGUCACGGCUGAUACCUGUGACUACUGACGGUACCGGAAGAAGAAGCACCGGCUAACUACGUGCCAGCAGCCGCGGUAAUACGUAGGGUGCGAGCGUUAAUCGGAAUUACUGGGCGUAAAGCGUGCGCA